rnacentral:rRNA from 1 species
UACGUAGGGUGCAAGCGUUGUCCGGAAUUAUUGGGCGUAAAGAGCUCGUAGGCGGUCUGUCGCGUCGGCUGUGAAAACCUGGGGCUUAACUCCGGGCCUGCAGCCGAUACGGGCAGACUAGAGUUCGGUAGGGGAGACUGGAAUUCCUGGUGUAGCGGUGAAAUGCGCAGAUAUCAGGAGGAACACCGGUGGCGAAGGCGGGUCUCUGGGGCCGAUACUGACGUGAGGAGCGAAAAGCGUGGGGGAGCGAACAGG